GACGAACGCUGGCGGCGUGCUUAACACAUGCAAGUCGAACGGAAAGGCCCUGCUUUUGUGGGGUGCUCGAGUGGCGAACGGGUGAGUAACACGUGAGUAACCUGCCCUUGACUUUGGGAUAACUUCAGGAAACUGGGGCUAAUACCGGAUAGGAGCUCCUGCUGCAUGGUGGGGGUUGGAAAGUUUCGGCGGUUGGGGAUGGACUCGCGGCUUAUCAGCUUGUUGGUGGGGUAGUGGCUUACCAAGGCUUUGACGGGUAGCCGGCCUGAGAGGGUGACCGGCGACAUUGGGACUGCGAUACGGCCCAGACUCCUACGGGAGGCAGCAGUGGGGAAUAUUGCACAAUGGGCGGAAGCCUGAUGCAGCAACGCCGCGUGCGGGAUGACGGCCUUCGGGUUGUAAACCGCUUUCGCCUGUGACGAAGCGUGAGUGACGGUAAUGGGUAAAGAAGCAACGGCUAACUACGUG
rnacentral:rRNA from 1 species